AAUAUGGCAGAGAUAGUGCAAUAGAUUUAAAAUCUAUAUACAAAGAUUUUUAAUCUUUUAUU
rnacentral:tRNA from 1 species